CGACCGGCGCACGGGUGAGUAACGCGUAUCCAACCCUGCCCACCACUUGGGGAGUAACCUUGCGAAAGUAAGACUAAUACCCAAUGAUAUCUCUAGAAGACAUCUGAAAGAGAUUAAAGAUUUAUCGGUGAUGGAUGGGGAUGCGUCUGAUUAGCUUGUUGGCGGGGUAACGGCCCACCAAGGCAACGAUCAGUAGGGGUUCUGAGAGGAAGGUCCCCCACAUUGGAACUGAGACACGGUCCAA
rnacentral:rRNA from 1 species